CUAAAGUUUUUUCACGCUUUAAUUUAUUGUGAUGCUGAAUUUUACAUGCAAAUUUUAGUGAAAAUUAAUUAUUAAUUUUAAAUAGAUUAUUAAGUAAAAAUUUAUUCGCAGUAAAAAAUUUUGAUUAAUUUAAACAAUUAAGAAUCAUUUAAGGUAUUUAGUAUUAACAAAAUUUGUGCCAGCAGUUGCGGUUACACAGAUAAUGCAACAAUAAAUUUUCAGUUAUAAUUAAUAUAAAUAUAUUUUUAAGAAUUUAAUAAUGGCUUUAUUAGGUGAAAUUCUAAAGUUGUAAAAGUUUUUAUAUAGAUUAUGAGGUUAAUAAAUUUAAGUAAAAAACUAGGAUUAGAUACCCUAUUAUUUUAAAUGAGAUUUUUUAAUACUGGAUUAGUAGUAGUUAUGGUCUUGAAAAUUAAAGAAUUUGGCGGUAUUUUAGUCUAUUCAGAGGAACUUGCCCUAUAAUUGAUGGUCCACGAUUUUUUUUACUUAUUUUCUAUAAGUUUGCAUAUCGCCGUAGUUUGAAUAUUUUUAGAAAAAAUUAAUAUUCAAUAUUUGUUUAAACAAAUUAAAUCAGGUCAAGAUGUAGCUUAUAAAUAAGAAGAGGUGAGUUACAAUAAAUAUAUUUAUAACGGAUAAAUAUAUGAUAUUAUAUUUUGAAGGUGGAUUUGAAGGUAAUUUUAUUUAAAUAAAUAAGAUGAUUUUAGCUCUAAAAUAUGUACAUAUCGCCCGUCGCUUUCAUUAUAAAGUGAAAUAAGUCGUAACAGAGUAGGUGUACUGGAAAGUGUACCUAGAAAGGU
rnacentral:ncRNA from 1 species